UGUCAACUAGUUGUCGGGGGUUUCUAAAGACUUGGUAACGUAGCUACCGCGUGAAGUUGACCGCCUGGGAAGUACGGCGCCAGGAUUAAAACUCAAAGGAAUUGACGGGGACCCGCACAAGCGGUGGAUGAUGUGGAUUAAUUCGAUGCAACGCGAACAACCUUACCUACCCUUGACAUGUCGGAAACCCUGCUGAGAGGNGGGGGUGCCCGAAAGGGAAUCGGAACACAGGUGCUGCAUGGCUGUCGUCAGCUCGGGUCGUGAAAUGUUGGGUUAAGUCCCGCAACGAGCGCAACCCUUGUCCCUAGUUGCUACCAAGGGCCCUCUUAGGGGGACUGCCGGGGACAAACCGGAGAAAGGGGGGGAUGACCUCAAGUCCUCAUGGCCCUUUUGGGUAGGGCUUCACACG
rnacentral:rRNA from 1 species